UACGUAGGGUGCGAGCGUUGUCCGGAAUUAUUGGGCGUAAAGAGCUUGUAGGCGGUCUGUCGCGUCUGCUGUGAAAACCCGAGGCUCAACCUCGGGCCUGCAGUGGGUACGGGCAGACUAGAGUGCGGUAGGGGGAGAUUGGAAUUCCUGGUGUAGCGGUGGAAUGCGCAGAUAUCAGGAGGAACACCAAUGGCGAAGGCAGAUCUCUGGGCCGUAACUGACGCUGAGGAGCGAAAGCAUGGGGGAGCGAACAGG
rnacentral:rRNA from 1 species